UACGAAGGGGGCUAGCGUUGCUCGGAAUCACUGGGCGUAAAGCGCACGUAGGCGGCUUUCUAAGUCAGGGGUGAAAUCCUGGAGCUCAACUCCAGAACUGCCUUUGAUACUGAGGAUCUUGAGUUCGGGAGAGGUGAGUGGAACUGCGAGUGUAGAGGUGAAAUUCGUAGAUAUUCGCAAGAACACCAGUGGCGAAGGCGGCUCACUGGCCCGAUACUGGCGCUGAGACGCGAAAGCGUGGGGAGCAAACAGG
rnacentral:rRNA from 1 species